UACGAAGGGGGCUAGCGUUGCUCGGAAUUACUGGGCGUAAAGGGCGCGUAGGCGGACAUUUAAGUUAGAGGUGAAAGCCCAGGGCUCAACCCUGGAAUAGCCUUUAAUACUGGAUGGUCUUGAGUUCGGGAGAGGUGAGUGGAAUGCCGAGUGUAGAGGUGAAAUUCGUAGAUAUUCGGCGGAACACCAGUGGCGAAGGCGAACUCACUGGCCCGAUACU
rnacentral:rRNA from 1 species